AAGAUAACCCAUAAUCAGAAAACCCUAACUCAGAAGCAAUAUCUCGAUCUCUAAAUCUCUCAAAAGAUAACCCAUAAUCAGAAAACCCUAACUCAGAAGCAAUCUCUCAAUCUAUUCAGCAGAAACUCAAAGGAUUAAUCUCUCGAACUCAAUCAGAUCUCACCAAGGGGCAUAACUGCAAUAAUGAAGACUAGCAAGGAAGCAGUAAAGAAGAAGCCGGUCAAGCAGUUGGAAAUAAAGAUGAAAAACAAAGAGAAGACUGAUGAAGCAUCCCUGAUAAAUAACAAGUCCAAAACUGAUAAUGCUGAA